GAAGUGCGAUAAGCAAUGCGAAUUGCAGAUCCGUGAGUCAUCAGAUUUUUGAACGCAACUGGCAGCGCGGGGAAUCCCCUGCGCUAUGCUUCUCUCAGUAUGUGAUUCUCUCCUGCCCCAAAUAAUAAUGCGACAGAUACCCUUCUGUUGCUAAGCUCGAAAGCACACUUCCUCUGCAGCGACCGGCUCGCCGGACGCACUCAAUGCAGCAGUCACAUUCUACAAUGUGAACUCAUUGAGAGCAGGAGAAGCGUCGCGGUUUCCGCGCCAGUGCUUAGCCAACCCAAUUUUCAGCAUCUGAGAUGAAGUAGGACCACGCGCUGAACUUAA
rnacentral:misc_RNA from 1 species